AACGUAGGAGACAAACGUUAUCCGGAGUUACUGGGCGUAAAGGGCGUGUAGGUGGUAAUGUAAGUCUGGCGUUGAAAUUUUUCGGCUUAACCGGGAAAGGUCGUCGGAUACUGCAUGACUAGAGGACGGUAGAGGCGUGUGGAAUUCCGGGGUGUAGUGGUGAAAUGCGCAGAUAUCAGGAGGAACACCGAUGGCGAAGGCAGGUCUCUGGGCCACUA
rnacentral:rRNA from 1 species